rnacentral:rRNA from 1 species
GACAGAGGGUGCAAACGUUGCUCGGAAUUACUGGGCGUAAAGCGCGUGUAGGCGGACCACCAAGUCGGACGUGAAAGCCCUGAGCUCAACUCAGGAACUGCAUCCGAAACUGGCGGUCUGGAGUAGUGGAGAGGAAAGCAGAAUUCCUGGUGUAGAGGUGAAAUUCGUAGAUAUCAGGAGGAACACCGGUGGCGAAGGCGGCUUUCUGGACACUUACUGACGCUGAGACGCGAAAGCGUGGGGAGCAAACAG